CUUGUUCUUUAAAUGAGGACUCGUAUCAACGGCACUACGAGGGCUAUACUGUCUCCUUUUUCUAAUCAGUGAAACUGAUCUCCCCGUGAAGAAGCGGGGAUUAUAAUAUAAGACGAGAAGACCCCAUGGAGCUUUAAACUCACCAUGCACCUCUGUGCUCCCAUACCCCUAAACACAACAGACCUGCAUGUUAGUUUUAGGUUGGGGUGACCACGGAGUAUAACUUAACCUCCACAGCAAACGGGCUAAUACCCUUAUCCACGAGACACAACUCUAAGAAUUACUAAACUAAUGCUUACGACCCGAUAUUCGAUCCAUGAACCAAGUUACCCUGGGGAUAACAGCGCAAUCUACUUCAAGAGCCCAUAUCGACAAGUAG
rnacentral:rRNA from 1 species